rnacentral:rRNA from 1 species
UACGAGGGGGGCGAGCGUUUGUUCGGAAUUAUUGGGCGUAAAGGGUGCGUAGGCGGUUUGGUAAGUCUUGUGUGAAAUCUCCAGGCUCAACUUGGAGUCUGCACGAGAAACUGCCGGGCUUUGAGUGUGGGAGAGGUGAGUGGAAUUCCUGGUGUAGCGGUGAAAUGCGUAGAUAUCAGGAGGAACACCUGUGGCGAAGGCGACUUACUGGACACAUAUUGACGCUGAGGUGCGAAAGCGUGGGGAGCAAACAGG